rnacentral:rRNA from 1 species
CCAAUAGCGUAUAUUAAAGUUGUUGCAGUUAAAAAGCUCGUAGUUGAAUUUCGGAAUCUGUCCGUUGGUCGGGCUUUAUUGUCCGUACUGAUGUGAUGGGUUCUUACCUUCUGAAUAACCAGCAUGUCAUUAAUUUGGUGUGUUGGGGAAGCAGGACUAUUACCUUGAAAAAAUUAGAGUGCUCAAAGCAGGCUAGUGCCUGAAUACAUUAGCAUGGAAUAAUAAAAUAGGACGGCAUGGUUCUAUUUUGUUGGUUUCUAGGAUCACCGUAAUGAUUAAUAGGGAUAGUUGGGGGCAUUAGUAUUCAAUUGUCAGAGGUGAAAUUCUUGGAUUUAUUGAAGACUAACUUCUGCGAGAGCAUUUGCCAAGGAUGUUUUCAUUAAUCAAGAACGAAAGUUAGGGGAUCGAAGACGAUCAGAUACCGUCGUAGUCUUAACCAUAAACUAUGCCGACUAGGGAUCGGACGAUGUUAAUUUUUUAAUGACUCGUUCGGCGCCUUACG